UAGAGAAACGGUUUCUUCAUCUAGGAACGGAGUCGACGCUAGCAACGAGGAGGAUAGAAACGACCAAAAUCGCAUUGGGAGAAACCACCGGUUUCUAGCUUGAUCAGUGCCGGAUCCACUGCUCCACCCGCCGCCGCGCGAGAGAUGGCGCGCGCUCGCAUCCUGUUCCCGCGCUCGCCUGCUUUGUGCGCCCUUUCUCCCGCGCGCCCCCUUCCUCCCGCCCUUUCUCCCGCGCUCGCUAGAGCCGCCGCCGCGAAAGGUUGCGGCAAUCUCCCGCGCUCGCCUGCCUCCGGUCUUCAUCCAGCGCCUCCCGUCGAUCCGCACUUCUUCUCCAGCCUUAGGUCCCCCACCGACGCUAUCCAGAGGGCGGAGAGCGCUACUACGAACCGAGCUGCCACGAGCAUAAAAGCGCGCGCCUUUACAAGGGCGGCGCGACGACGCUGAGGUGGAGCUGCCGGUCGCGGCCACGACGGGACGGGAACCACCGGUCGCCGGCUUGUGCGCUCCGCCUUGCUGCUUGUGACGACGCAGCUUUAGCUACCAAAUGUGAGCAUGAAUCAACUCCGUCCGCCGUCAAGGCAAGGCAAGGUCGGGCGGGGCAGGGGUGCUCCGGCCACCCUCAAUGGUCGAUGUGUUGAUGCUGCUCCCGCUGCCCCUGUUGGAUCAAGUCCGCCCGGUGAACCAAGCACCGUACCAACAGCAACGACAUCUCCAACGACAUCUCCGACGCUUGCAAGUCUUCGAGCAGCUGGAUUUCCUGAGUGGUGGACAAGUUCAUCUACGUCAGGCUCAAAUCAAGGGAUAUACCCACAAGGAGGGUUUACCAAUUUGUUGAACUUAAACGGUACUCUAGAGAAUUUCCAUUUAGUUGGCAAUACAAGAGGCAGCACUACAAUUUCACCAACAAGUUUGAAAAGAAGCAGACCAGUUGAGGGCAAUGGACAUGAGACGGAAACAAUUGUUGUUGAUGCUGAUGAAAACAACGAAGAUGAGAGAACCGAGAGGCGAUUGAACUAUACAAAACAAGAGGAUGUUAGAUUGGCUUCUGCUUGGCUGCGGCACUCAAAGGACCCAGUUGAAGGAACCGAUAGGACUGGAGAUCAAUAUUGGACUGCUGUAACUGAAGAAUAUAACAAAGGCACAUAGAUUAGCCGCAGAAGAAAUCGGAACCAGUUGAAGAUCCGCUGGGAUCGUCUUAAGAAACCAGUAAUGGAGUUCCAUGGAUGCUGGGUAAGUACCAACAGAGUGUACAGAAGUGGUUAUAGUGAUGACCAGUUGAUGGACAUGGCUGAGAAAAUGUAUGCUAAAGCCAAUAGUGAUAAAGAUUUCACGCUGAAGCACUUUUGGGAGGUUGUGCGUGGUGAAAAGAAGUGGUCUGCAUAUGUUAAGAGGGAAAUGGAAAAGGAGAAGAAGGGUGCAUCUAAUAAGGGUGCAUCGUCACCGGCUGAAGUGGUGAAUUUGGAAGAUAAUCCUAAUAUUCGUACUCCGGGACAUAGGAAGGCUAAGGAUGAGUUGCAUGGGAAAAAGAAGACACCUCAAUAUUCUACUAUUAGUGACAAGGUAGACAAGUUCAUUGAAGUAACCACAUUGGCUAGAAAGGACCGUGACAAGAUGGCCGAGACACAGCAAAUUAUGGCACAAAGCAAGGUUGAAGCUGCUAGGCUGAAUGAUAAGGCAGCAGAAAAGCAACUGAAAUGUAAAAUGCUGGACACCUAUAGGGAGCUGCUGUUAGCACCAACAACUAAUAUGAAUGCUCAAGCUUUGGUUGAGAGGGACAAAGCACUAGAGAGUAUGAGGUUGGCCUUAUUUGCUACAGAUAAUUAAGGCAUUUCCUCUACUUCUCUGUUGUUGUCCACUACUUCUCUGCAACUUAUUUGUGUGAAAGCAUUAUUCUCUGAAAUCUGUAUGUCUACUAGUGUGAAACUGAAACUGCAACUUGGACUGCAUGUCUACUGCAUGUCUGCUGGUGUGAAACUGAAACUGCAGUACUUAUUUUUAUUUGUGUGAAAGCAGUAACUGGUGUGAAACUGAAACACAUGGCAGAGCCCACGCCCUCUAGUGUAUAUAUAGAGACUGCACGCCCUCUUCGCUCUGCCUAGUACCCUCUGUCCUCUUUUCUCUUGCCUAAUAUUACUGAAUAAUAAUUGGUGAAAUUCAUUUGUUUGCUGUUUUGUCCUGCAGAUGAUGGUUUCUCAUGGCUUGUGGAGUUUGUGUUGACUUGCUGGAGUGCUGCAUGACUUGGUUUCUGGAGUUUGCUUCUGGAGUGCUGCAUGGCCUGUUUCAAAUGUGGCUUUUGGGCUAUUGUUUAUCAAAUAUAUAUGCUAUCUGUUAUCUUUAUUCCUAGACUAUUGUACUCUUGGGCGUUAUGUUUGCUGGAACCAUAGAUGGUCAUACGAUGCCAUCAAUUAUAUGUUUGCUGUUAUCGUUAAGAAUAGCUUGUGUUCUUGUCUUUUGGAACA